rnacentral:rRNA from 1 species
UAGUCUCGCACAGAUGCAUAUCAAUAAGCGGAGGAAAAGAAACUAACAAGGAUUCCCUUAGUAACGGCGAGUGAAGCGGGAAGAGCUCAAAUUUGAAAUCUUCAAGGUUUUACCUUGACGAAUUGUAGUUUAAAGAAGUGUUUUCUGUUGAAGUUUUGGUAAAAGUUCUUUGGAAUAGGACAUCAUAGAGGGUAAGAAUCCCGUAUUUGACCAUUAUUUUCAGCUGUGUGAUACACUUUCAAAGAGUCGGAUUGUUUGGGAAUGCAGUCCAAAAUGGGUGGUAAAUUUCAUCUAAAGCUAAAUAUUGGCGAGAGACCGAUAGCGAACAAGUACCGUGAGGGAAAGAUGAAAAGAACUUUGAAAAGAGAGUUAAACAGUACGUGAAAUUGUCAAAAGGGAAGCGUUUGACACCAGUGUUGUUUUCUCGAAAAUCAAUUAAAAAGAGUUAGAUUUUGUUGUGUAUUGACCUUAACAGCUUGCAUUUCAAUUUUCUUGCUUUUUUUAAUGCACUUUUCGUUUAACAAGUCAACAUCAGUUUCUUUUGUUGUAAAAAGGUCAUUGGAAGGUGGCUUUCUUUUCGGAGAAAGUGUUUAUAGCCUUUGACUCCUGCAAUCGGAGAGACUGAGGUCUGCAGCGUAGAUUCUUCGGGGUUAGAUACAUUUGUGCUAAGUUAUAGCUUUUUAUAGACAACUUGUUGACUAUGAUUAGUCUUGUAGCUUACUCGCUUAUGCUAUUUUACCUACGCUUAGGAUGUUGAGCGCAUGUCUCUCUCU